UACGUAGGGUGCGAGCGUUGUCCGGAAUUAUUGGGCGUAAAGAGCUCGUAGGCGGUCUGUCGCGUCUGCUGUGAAAUCCCGAGGCUCAACCUCGGGCUUGCAGUGGGUACGGGCAGGCUAGAGUGCGGUAGGGGAGAAUGGAACUCCUGGUGUAGCGGUGGAAUGCGCAGAUAUCAGGAAGAACACCAAUGGCGAAGGCAGCUCUCUGGGACGGUACUGACACUGAGACGCGAAAGCGUGGGGAGCGAACAGG
rnacentral:rRNA from 1 species